rfam:Operophtera brumata OBRT01_Sc02885, whole genome shotgun sequence.
GGUGUAGCUCAGAUGGUAGAGCGUUCGCUUAGCGUGCGAAAAGUCCGGGGAUCGAUACCCCGCGCC